UUCAGAUUGCAUCAAAGUGUGCCCAUCAUUCUUUGCAUCAGCCACUGCGGAUUCUCAUACGAUUCUGAAAAUCGCAGCCACUGCCGGGGCUUGCCAUCCAGACUGACCCCCUUGGAUAUGCUCCCUUGGAUCCGCAGAAAGAUGCUUUGAUUGAUCUACUGCCUCACAUGUUUCUGCUGAAAAUACAUAAGCAAAUGUUCUAAUUAUGAUAUCCAGAAAUGUACCAGUAUAUUUCACAUGUUACAGAAAGAUGAAAUAUUCAGGAGACAGUAACAAGAUUAAAAGUUUGUGAGAGAGAUAGAUUUCUGAGAACAGUGAAUUAGAAAAUAAGAGAGGGAUCAUUUUGUCCUGCUUCUUCUGCUGUCAGAGGGAGGUCUGAGCAUGAUGCAGAACAAGACACCAACUUUUUGUUUCCAGAUGAUGGGAAUGUUAAUUCUCUUGCCACAGUUUGACUGUCAAAGUGAGAUAAAACCAGACACUUUUGUCAUCUUAGUAUAAUUUUUCUCAGUAAUUUUAUUCAUCCAUGGAAUGUUUUUUCUACUACCUGGUGUGGUGUUUGACAUGACAGAUGCUGUGCAUGGAGAUAUUAAUGCCAACAAAGUUCUGCUUACAGGUACCUGUUUUGCAGCUAAAACAAACAGCCAGAACUUGUUCAAUAUAUAUUUAGACAAGUAUGACAGCUUUGUAGAGAGGAAGGUAUUGAUCUGCUUUUAAAAUAUUAUGAGGGAAAAUAAAAUGGGCUAAUCACCACACAAUACAUGGGACAGAAAGUAGAUGAACACAACCUGGUCCCCAUCCUAAUUUUAACAGCAACUUGUCACAAAUAUUCUCUAUGUAAAAAAAAAACAAAUCACAUUAAUGCUAACAUGGUGCUUUAUCAUCACCUCUAAAUGAGUGUAUAUAACCUUAAAGAUAAUUUUACUGACUGCAAAGCAUGGGUAUUUUUUGUAUUUUGCUGUGAGUCAUGGAUGCUGUGGUGGACUUAUAUCACUGAAGUGAGUUUAUUUAAGUGUACACAGUACGCUCUUUUCAUUUACUGUUCUUAAGUCACUAGUGGGAUGAACUUCAUGGAAAAAUGGCAUAGCUAAAGCCAGCAAGAACAAUCUAUUACAAUGGAUCUUAAUCACAAAUCACAAAUACCUUAACAAAGUCUCAUUACUGUCACUGUAGGAAAAGAUCACACAGAGUUUGUUGGAGGUCUGGUACACCACAGAACAACCAUCACUCCACCUGCCACCAUACAGCCUACAUGGAAGAUGAAGAGGAACGAAGAGAUCUUAGAUACUUGCAGAAAUGGAGAGCAAGGAAUAAAACAAUACACAUAUUACAACUGUUAACAGAUUCAACAGUCAUACUCAGCAUCUGAUGGUUCACAGAUUUGUAUACAACUCUAGAUUAAUGAAAACCUCUGAGGCAGAGAUGAGUGUGCAGUCCAGCUUUCCUGAUGCUGAAUGAAUGUUCCUACCACUACAGGAGUGAAUGA